rnacentral:lncRNA from 1 species
CUCAGCUGCUUUUCCUUCAGCCUGAGGGCUGGCUCUGGAAGGCAUCAUGAGCCCGAACCCCAUUCAAAAGAGGGGAGUAUUUACAGCAAAUUUUUCCCUGUCCUGUGGCCUAGCCUCUAGGCAGUAGGACUCUGGAGAAGAAAUUUGUUAGGCUCCUUGCUCCUCUUGCCACACUCAGAGUGGCCAGAUUCCAUUAUUUCGCAGCACAGGGAGCUGAAAUUGAGUCAUAGUUCAGUGAUCUGCAGCUCAGCCAACAUAUUUCCCCAAAAGUGAGUUUUCUCUAACUAGCUUCAUUCAAAUCAUUCACCCAACAGACACCUAUGACAAUUAGUAUCUUGGAAACUCUGAAGAUUUUAAUGGGAUCAUAGACACUUGGAGUGUAAAAGAAUUCUACCCAGUUUUUUAGAAGUGGAUCCCUAGAAGUGUGGUGACUUGCUCAAGGGUGUGCCAUUUGAGACAAAGCCGUGACAAAGGCGUGAAUGGGAUCUGUCCCCAUCCAGUGGUCAGCUUCUCUUCAAGACAGAGAGAAGCCAACUCUCCUGACCUGAGAAGUGAGAUGUGUUCUCUACCACAGCGCUGCUCAAUAGAAAUAUAACCCUGAAAUUUGCACUCGAUACCUGGAGGCACAGCAGCCAUCUUGUGACUAUGAAGUCCUCAAUUGAAAAAGAAACUAUCAUCAAAGGAUGGUGCCAACCUAGUGGGAGGCCUCUGAGGGUCUGAGUCACAGAAUCCAGUCCUCUCUCCUCAACCUAGCUCUGUGCAAGUUAUCAGUGACUCUGACAGGCAUGAGACAUGACUUCAUGUUUGAAAUAAAGAGAAAUGGAUGAUAGACGUUGAGAUGGAGGAUCUGUGCUGAGGCCUGAGGAUUUCCAGCAUCUGUUUAGCCUGGCUUUGAGGAGUUAAGAGGCCUUGUUUGGG